rnacentral:lncRNA from 1 species
GGAAGGAGGAUUGAACUUCCCCCUCCACCCCACCUCUACAAGCCCCCCCCCCCCAUUGAGUAAUUAGAGCUAAUAUCUGAGUAAUGGACACACUACCAAGCAUGCCUGAACUACCGGCCUUGAGCUACAGAUGGCGCUGUGAGACCAAAGGCGCUGACCUUAUGGGGGAUAGGUCUGAAUUGGAGACACCCUGCCAUGGUGGCCCUUUAUCUUCACAAAUAAGUAAUACCUGAAGACUGCGAUGCCCAGACUGUCCUUUCUGUCUCAUACGUUGGUGGAAAGACUAUGUCCAGUGGACAGCAGAUACCUGGGGCUCAUUUUGCUGUUUUCAAAGUUCCUUUGUGAAAGGUUAUGGCCACAAAGAAGCAAAAAGCCUUGAAGUGACAGAUGUCCCAGAAGAAUGUUUUCCUCCUUUGGAUCUUUUCUUUAAAAAUGUGAGAAAUGAAGAAGAGCUUGAGUUGGUUGUUGAUUUGUCAUGCACUGAGCACUUCUGUGAAGCAGAGGUGGCAAAGCCGAGAAAACCCAUUUCCGCUCCCACUGCCCCCACUGAUACAUGGUUAUUGUGAGUUUCUAGGAAGGAGAGUGACAACGAUGAACUUCCAAGUGGCUCAGAGAGGACCAGCAAGCCUUAUUAUCUCUGUGACCUAACUGACGCCAUGGCUUUUAUUUCUUCUACUUUGCUGUGUAUACCGAACAGUGGUGUGCCAUGUUUAUGUGAGUGGAACCCUCUACCUAGACAGAAUGAUACUUCUUUCAAUUCUUUCAAGUUGCUAGUUUAAAAAAAUCCAGUUAUAAAAUGAGAACAUGAGAAAACUG